rnacentral:rRNA from 1 species
AACGAACGCUGGCGGCAGGCCUAACACAUGCAAGUCGAGCGAGCAUUUCGGUGCUAGCGGCGGACGGGUGAGUAACGCGUGGGAACGUGCCCUUUUCUGCGGAAUAGUCCUGGGAAACUGGGGGUAAUACCGCAUACGCCCUUUUGGGGAAAGAUUUAUCGGAGAAGGAUCGGCCCGCGUUGGAUUAGGUAGUUGGUGGGGUAAUGGCCCACCAAGCCGACGAUCCAUAGCUGGUUUGAGAGGAUGAUCAGCCACACUGGGACUGAGACACGGCCCAGACUCCUACGGGAGGCAGCAGCGGGGAAUCUUAGACAAUGGGGGCAACCCUGAUCGAGCCAUGCCGCGUGAGUGAUGAAGGCCUUAGGGUUGUAAAGCUCUUUCAGCUGGGAAGAUAAUGACGGUACCAGCAGAAGAAGCCCCGGCUAACUCCGUG